rnacentral:tRNA from 5 species
GCCGGAAUAGCUCAAUUGGUAGAGCAACUGACUUGUAAUCAGUAGGUUGCGGGUUCAAGUCCUGUUUCCGGCACCA